AGAGGAGCUGCAGACCAAGAAGAACGAGAGAGAAACUAAAGGAGCUGAGCUGCAGCAGCUCCAUGAAGAGAAGAAGAGGAACGACAACGAGCUGCAGAGCCUGAAGGAAGAGCUGGAGAACAAGAACAAAGAGAUGGAGAGAACUAGAAAAACCC